UUUAUUGGAGUUUUGGGGGGGUUACCAGGGAGUGAAGCUUGAAUGCUUCCAAACUAAUGGGGGUCAAAGUGCUUUGCGCUGACUGUUGGGGGCACAUGAGGAUAAAUAUUGGCCGCGGAGCUGCUGUUAGUCUCCAGCCUCUGAGAUGACCAGAUACAAACCUUUUUUUAAAAAAAAUCCUGAGUGUUAGGAACAGAACCAAGUCCAUCGAAUCCUUCCUGUGUUUCCGUAUGGAAAAGAUGACCUUGUGUGGGGUGUGCCUGGCUUCCUGCAUCACGGGGCAGGCUGACACCUGACUGCACUGCAUGGUUGGCAAAACAUGAUUUUUCUACUUGUAGAAAUUUGCUUGCAAUGGUACUGUGAUUGAACACCCGGAAUAUGGAGAAGUGAUUCAGCUGCAAGGUGACCAGCGCAAGAACAUAUGCCAGUUCCUCAUCGAGAUUGGUCUGGCUAAAGACGACCAGCUGAAGGUCCAUGGGUUUUAAGUGCCUGUGGAUCUCUGACGCUUUAAGUGAGAGGACUGCCUUGCGAUGAGUAAAAUCCCAUUCUGUCCCUUGUCAUAAGUUUAAAGCCAGCUGGAUUGUGUAAUGUAACCAUCUGAAGUCCGCUGUUUAGUCUGGACUAGUAGUGUAACUCAGCGAUGUAAUAAACUGGCAAGAGCCAUGCUGUCUCGUCUUGCUGUCCCUCAUUUAAACCGAGGUAAAUCAGGCAGUGUCCAGCCUGAAGCUAAAAAUAACCAGAAGUUUGUGUUAAGUCCAGGGACUCAACAUGUCUGUCCAGAGACUGUCUGAAUCUCUCUUCAGUCCAGCUUCCUUUCCAUUUAAAUGGACUUUAAUACUUGAGGUGCCUGUUGUGGUCCUACAUGGCAUGAGGCACCAAACAUGAGCUGUGACACUGAAUGGGGAAAUAGCAUCCUGUAGGCAGGGCCUGCUUCUGGAGGUGUCAAGGUCUGGCUGCAAACUGACUGACCAAGAAGAGUAACUGAAGAAAUCUGCCUUAGGAGAUACCUGGAAGAAGGGCUUCUCCAAGGCUGAAUGUCUCGACCUCAGGCCAAGUCAGCUGUUGGUAUCAUUAAACCCAAAGAUACGGGAAUAGAGUGCUCAAAGGAAACAUUACCUUGGGUUAAACUUUUGACAAGGGAUCAAUUUUGGAUCAUUGUAGCUAGAGCUGCAGAGCUUACAUGUUACUAGUAACUGCUGCCCAAUGCCCUGUGAAGCAACACAUUCUUCGUUUCAGUUUUAAUGUUGUAUGUAAUGUAUUUAAACCCUUAUUUAAAUAAAAAUGGUUUUCAAAAA